rnacentral:rRNA from 1 species
AGUGAACGCUGGCGGCGUGCCUAAUACAUGCAAGUCGAACGAUGAAGUCCUAGCUUGCUAGGAUGGAUUAGUGGCGCACGGGUGAGUAAUAUAUAGUUAAUCUGCCCUACACAGAGGAACAACAGUUGGAAACGGCUGCUAAUACCUCAUACUCCUAUUUGACAUAAGUUAAAUAGGGAAAGUCUUUUCGGUGUAGGAUGAGACUAUAUCGUAUCAGCUAGUUGGUAAGGUAAUGGCUUACCAAGGCUAUGACGCGUAACUGGUCUGAGAGGAUGAUCAGUCACAUUGGAACUGAGACACGGUCCAAACUCCUACGGGAGGCAGCAGUGGGGAAUAUUGGACAAUGGACCGAGAGUCUGAUCCAGCAAUUCUGUGUGCACGAUGAAGUUUUUCGGAAUGUAAAGUGCUUUCAGUUGGGAAGAAAGAAAUGACGGUACCAACAGAAGAAGUGACGGCUAAAUACGUGCCAGCAGCCGCGGUAAUACGUAUGUCACGAGCGUUAUCCGGAUUUAUUGGGCGUAAAGCGCGUCUAGGUGGUUAUAUAAGUCUGAUGUGAAAAUGCAGGGCUCAACUCUGUAUUGCGUUGGAAACUGUAUAACUAGAGUACUGGAGAGGUAAGCGGAACUACAAGUGUAGAGGUGAAAUUCGUGGAUAUUUGUAGGAAUGCCGAUGGGGAAGCCAGCUUACUGGACAGAUACUGACGCUGAAGCGCGAAAGCGUGGGUAGCAAACAGG